UACGUAGGUGGCAAGCGUUGUCCGGAUUUAUUGGGCGUAAAGCGCGCGCAGGCGGUCCUUUAAGUCUGAUGUGAAAUCUUGCGGCUCAACCGCAAGCGGUCAUUGGAAACUGGGGGACUUGAGUACAGAAGAGGAAAGCGGAAUUCCACGUGUAGUGGUGAAAUACGUAGAGAUUGGGAAGAACACCAGUGGCGAAGGCGGCAUCCUGGACCGGCAUUGACGCUGAGGAGCGAAAGCCAGGGGAGCAAACGGG
rnacentral:rRNA from 1 species